GGCUGAGUGGCGAAAUUGGCAUACGCAGUUGCUUCAAGUACAACCCUCGAAAGAGAUGUGGGUUCAAGUCCCACCUCAGCUACCA
rnacentral:tRNA from 1 species